rnacentral:rRNA from 1 species
GAUGAACGCUAGCGGCAGGCUUAAUACAUGCAAGUCGAGGGGCAGCAGGGGUGUAGCAAUACACUCGCUGGCGACCGGCAAACGGGUGCGGAACACGUACGCAAUCUACCCAUAACUGGGGCAUAGCCCUCCGACAGGAGGAUUAAUACCCCGUAACCUCUGGGGGUGGCCUCCCCGUCUUAGAAUAGCUCCGGCGGUUAUGGAUGGGCGUGCGGCUGAUUAGGUAGUUGGCGGGGUAACGGCCCACCAAGCCUGCGAUCAGUACCUGGUGUGAGAGCACGACCAGUCACACGGGCACUGAGACACGGGCCCGACUCCUACGGGAGGCAGCAGUAAGGAAUAUUAGUCAAUGGAGGCAACUCUGAACCAGCCAUGCCGCGUGAAGGAUGAAGGUCCUCUGGACUGUAAACUUCUUUUACAGGGGAAGGAACCACUUUUUUCCAAAAGUGUUGACGGUACCCUGGGAAUAAGCACCGGCUAACUCCGUGCCAGCCGCCGCGGUAAUAC